rnacentral:rRNA from 1 species
CCUACGGGAUGCAGCAGUGGGGAAUAUUGGGCAAUGGGCGCAAGCCUGACCCAGCAACGCCGCGUGAAGGAAGGAGGCUUUCGGGUUGUAAACUUCUUUUCUCCGGGACGAAGCAAGUGACGGUACCUGAGGAAUAAGCCACGGCUAACUACGUGCCAGCAGCCGCGGUAAUACGUAGGUGGCAAGCGGUAUCCGGAUUUACUGGGUGUAAAGGGCGUGUAGGCGGGACUGCAAGUAAGAUGUGAAAACCACGGGCACAGCCUGUGGCAUGCAUUUGACACUGUAGUGUGUGAGGAUUGGACAGGCAGAAGGACCUCAGGGUGGGGCGGUGAAAUGCGUAGAGAUUAGGAGGAACACCAGUGGCGAAGGCGGUCUUCUGGACAGCAACUCACGCUGAGGCGCGAAAGCGGGGGGAGCAAACAGGAUUAGAUCCACCGGAAUUC